UCGCCCCUCCUCAAAUCCACCCGUUGUUGCUCCUCAAAUCCAAUCGCUCCCCACGGAUCCGCGCCGCUCCCAACAACACCGCACCCAAAUCCUGCAAUGCUUGAGCGCUCUGCACGACACAGGUCCCGCGGGGUGCUAGCGGUGCGGCCGUCGGGAGAUCUAUCGCCGCAGAGGUGGUGGGAAGGAGGAGCGGCAGCAGUGCUGGGGCUACUGCUCGCGGCCAUGCGUGACAUGUGUCUGCGUGACCAGCGGCGGACGCCUAGACAAUCUGCACCGGGGCGCCCCCGCCGCCACGCGCUCCGCACUCCUCGCCGCCACAUUCUUCGUGGGAAUGGCGGUCGCCGAGUUGAGCUUCGAUUCGUGGCAUAGCCGCCUCGUCAGGUCCGGCCGCGAAGUCCGGAUGCAGGGCUGCUUACCUGCGCUGGUACCCAUCAGGCUCAUCACCCCAUGCCAGGCGGCGGCUCCUGGGGAUGCAGCAGGCGGCUCCAUCGAAAACAGGAAAGGGAGGGCUUUUAGUGCGUGGAGUUAUGGCUAAGGGAAAUGGAUGUGGACGUAUCGCGGCUGGCAGAGGCAUUAGUGCAGUACAAGGGAGCAUGGACACGCACUAGUCAGUCGCAAUGUCCGCUCUGUCCCUUCUCAUCCCCUCAGCUCAUCUACUGCAUGUUAAACCACCACCUAUCCACUUUGACUGGGCAGGAGGAAAGCACCAAGGUGCUCGACCCAAAGUUACAUGACCACCUAGGUACUGAACAGAACUUGUAGAGCUGUGAGACAUUCAACCUGUGUCACCAUUUGGGAGGUAAAUGUUACAUCUUGACAUGUGGUUUUAAAUUAAAACAUUCAAUUGAUUUACCCAUAUGAAGUACAAUAUUUAAACUAGGACCAUUCAACUUUGUUGUAGGCCUCAUAUUGUCAAGGAAUGGAACUUUUUCCUUGUCAUAGUCUUUUGCUCUGUUAUUUACUACUCUUCUGUAUUGGUCACUGAUGCCAUCCAACAUGGUGAAUGGCUUGUCUGCAAGAUGCUCGAGCUGUGCCUACUACCAUUCAGUAGUUUAUUUAUAUGCUCCUCUGUUAGACUAUUAGUCAGAUUAUUGAGUGGCUAGCCUACUUUUGAUUUGCCUAGCUAUACAAUGAUUUCUUUUUUUAUAAGCUUAUAAGGAGUCGUAUCAACAGAAAUCUGUCAUUUCCUAAUUUCAUGAUAAGGCAGGUUGAUGAAUUCACUGCAAGGCUGCUAGAAAUUCUUGAGAAGAUGGCAGUAAAUAAGAAAGCGUAUAAAAUGAUGAGGCAUGAUUAUCAGAAGUCUAGUUCAUGGUGAAGAAUUUGAUUGUUGAUGCCUGCUACUGCUGCUAUUGUUCUUGUGCAAAUCCCUUCGAAAGAUGCAUUUGGUGCAACUUUGUGCUUCCUCAUUUGUUUGUAUGUAAAUUUUACUUGUUCUAGACCAAACAGUUGCGUUGCUAAUUGGGCUACUGUUGCCAUGUAAAAUAGGUUGGCCCAAAAAUGGAUAGUAUGUGUAUAUACGAAAUUGGCUUCAAAAUUGUAUGGAGUCAGCAAUAAGAAUGCAACAACUCUUUAGGUUAAUCUGAUUGGAUCUAAAAUUAA